AUACAAGCGAGCGGCGGACGGGUGAGUAACACGUGGGUAACCUGCCCAAGAGACUGGGAUAACACCUGGAAACAGAUGCUAAUACCGGAUAACAACACUAGACGCAUGUCUAGAGUUUGAAAGAUGGUUCUGCUAUCACUCUUGGAUGGACCUGCGGUGCAUUAGCUAGUUGGUAAGGUAACGGCUUACCAAGGCAAUGAUGCAUAGCCGAGUUGAGAGACUGAUCGGCCACAUUGGGACUGAGACACGGCCCAAACUCCUACGGGAGGCAGCAGUAGGGAAUCUUCCACAAUGGACGAAAGUCUGAUGGAGCAACGCCGCGUGAGUGAAGAAGGGUUUCGGCUCGUAAAGCUCUGUUGGUAGUGAAGAAAGAUAGAGGUAGUAACUGGCCUUUAUUUGACGGUAAUUACUUAGAAAGUCACGGCUAACUACGUGCCAGCAGCCGCGGUAAUACGUAGGUGGCAAGCGUUGUCCGGAUUUAUUGGGCGUAAAGCGAGUGCAGGCGGUUCAAUAAGUCUGAUGUGAAAGCCUUCGGCUCAACCGGAGAAUUGCAUCAGAAACUGUUGAACUUGAGUGCAGAAGAGGAGAGUGGAACUCCAUGUGUAGCGGUGGAAUGCGUAGAUAUAUGGAAGAACACCAGUGGCGAAGGCGGCUCUCUGGUCUGCAACUGAC
rnacentral:rRNA from 1 species